rnacentral:rRNA from 1 species
UACGUAGGGGGCAAGCGUUGUCCGGAUUUAUUGGGCGUAAAGGGCGCGUAGGCGGCUCGCUAAGUCGGGUGUGAAAACUCUGGGCUCAACCCAGAGCCUGCAUUCGAAACUGUCGAGCUAGAGUUCUGGAGGGGAAAGCGGAAUUCCUGGUGUAGCGGUGAAAUGCGUAGAUAUCAGGAGGAACACCGGUGGCGAAGGCGGCUUUCUGGACAGAAACUGACGCUGAGGCGCGAAAGCUAGGGGAGCAAACAGG